UGGUGGGUAGUUUGACUGGGGCGGUCUCCUCCUAAAGAGUAACGGAGGAGCACGAAGGUUGGCUAAUCCUGGUCGGACAUCAGGAGGUUAGUGCAAUGGCAUAAGCCAGCUUGACUGCGAGCGUGACGGCGCGAGCAGGUGCGAAAGCAGGUCAUAGUGAUCCGGUGGUUCUGAAUGGAAGGGCCAUCGCUCAACGGAUAAAAGGUACUCCGGGGAUAACAGGCUGAUACCGCCCAAGAGUUCAUAUCGACGGCGGUGUUUGGCACCUCGAUGUCGGCUCAUCACAUCCUGGGGCUGAAGUAGGUCCCAAGGGUAUGGCUGUUCGCCAUUUAAAGUGGUACGCGAGCUGGGUUUAGAACGUCGUGAGACAGUUCGGUCCCUAUCUGCCGUGGGCGCUGGAGAACUGAGGGGGGCUGCUCCUAGUACGAGAGGACCGGAGUGGACGCAUCACUGGUGUUCGGGUUGUCAUGCCAAUGGCACUGCCCGGUAGCUAAAUGCGGAAGAGAUAAGUGCUGAAAGCAUCUAAGCACGAAACUUGCCCCGAGAUGAGUUCUCCCUGAGACUUAGAGUCUCCUGAAGGAACGUUGAAGACGACGACGUUGAUAGGCCGGGUGUGUAAGCGCAGCGAUGC
rnacentral:rRNA from 4 species